GAUGAACGCUGGCGGCGUGCCUAAUACAUGCAAGUCGAGCGAACAGACGAGGAGCUUGCUUCUCUGACGUUAGCGGCGGACGGGUGAGUAACACGUGGAUAACCUACCUAUAAGACUGGGAUAACUUCGGGAAACCGGAGCUAAUACCGGAUAAUAUAUUGAACCGCAUGGUUCAAUAGUGAAAGACGGUUUUGCUGUCACUUAUAGAUGGAUCCGCGCAGCAUUAGCUAGUUGGUAAGGUAACGGCUUACCAAGGCAACGAUGCGUAGCCGACCUGAGAGGGUGAUCGGCCACACUGGAACUGAGACACGGUCCAGACUCCUACGGGAGGCAGCAGUAGGGAAUCUUCCGCAAUGGGCGAAAGCCUGACGGAGCAACGCCGCGUGAGUGAUGAAGGUCUUCGGAUCGUAAAACUCUGUUAUUAGGGAAGAACAAAUGUGUAAGUAACUAUGCACGUCUUGACGGUACCUAAUCAGAAAGCCACGGCUAACUACGUG
rnacentral:rRNA from 1 species